UACGUAGGGUGCAAGCGUUGUCCGGAAUUAUUGGGCGUAAAGAGCGUGUAGGCGGCCCGAUUAGUCUGCUGUGAAAGUCCAGGGCUCAACCCUGGAAUGCCGGUGGAUACUGUCGGGCUAGAGUCCGGAAGGGGCGAGUGGAAUUCCUGGUGUAGCGGUGGAAUGCGCAGAUAUCAGGAGGAACACCAAUAGCGAAGGCAGCUCGCUGGGACGGUACUGACACUAAGGCGCGAAAGCGUGGGGAGCGAACAGG
rnacentral:rRNA from 1 species